rnacentral:rRNA from 1 species
UGGGGAAUUGUUCGCAAUGGGCGCAAGCCUGACGACGCAACGCCGCGUGGAGGACGAAGAUCUUCGGAUCGUAAACUCCUGUCGAGCGGGACGAACGGUCCGCGACCCAACACGUCGCGGGAGUGACGGUACCGCUAAAGGAAGCCCCGGCUAACUCCGUGCCAGCAGCCGCGGUAAUACGGGGGGGGCCAGCGUUGUUCGGAAUUACUGGGCGUAAAGGGCGCGUAGGCGGCCACCGAAGUCGGACGUGAAAUCCCUCGGCUCAACCGGGGAACUGCGUCUGAUACUGGGUGGCUCGAAUCCGGGAGAGGGAUGCGGAAUUCCAGGUGUAGCGGUGAAAUGCGUAGAUAUCUGGAGGAACACCGGUGGCGAAGGCGGCAUCCUGGACCGGUAUUGACGCUGAGGCGCGAAAGCCAGGGGAGCAAACGGGAUUAGAUACCCCGGUAGUCCUGGCCCUAAACGAUGAGUGCUUGGUGUGGUGGGUAUCGAUCCCUGCCGUGCCGGAGCUAACGCGUUAAGCACUCCGCCUGGGGAGUACGGUCGCAAGGCUG